rnacentral:tRNA from 1 species
UCCGGGGUGACUUAGUUGGUAAAGAAUCUGCCCGCAAUGCAGGAGACCUGGGUUCAAUCCCUGGGUCAGGAA